rnacentral:tRNA from 1 species
GGGCGACUAGCUCAGUUGGUUAGAGCGUUGCUUUCACACGGCAAAGGCCUCCGGUUCGAGUCCGGAGUCGCCCA